rnacentral:rRNA from 1 species
UACGAAGGGGGCUAGCGUUGCUCGGAAUGACUGGGCGUAAAGGGCGCGUAGGCGGUUGGCACAGUCAGAUGUGAAAUUCCCGGGCUUAACCUGGGGGCUGCAUUUGAUACGUGUGAUCUAGAGUGAGGAAGAGGGUCGUGGAAUUCCCAGUGUAGAGGUGAAAUUCGUAGAUAUUGGGAAGAACACCGGUGGCGAAGGAGGCGACCUGGUCCUUUUACUGACGCUGAGGCGCGAAAGCGUGGGGAGCAAACAGG